AAAGUAAGGACCUUUCCUGGCUGAGACUUCAGUGCUGUGACUGGUUGACUGGACAGAACAACUUGUCAUCUUGAUCAAUGGAUGUUUCUCACAAUAUGCUUCAAAUAAGAAAUGGGUACAUUUACUUCACCAUCUUUCUACUGGCAGAACCAGGCGGAGUUGAACUAUCUAUCCCCGUAUUCACCCUGAAAAGCAUGUAGUUCCAUUUCCUACUUGAAUCCUUGAACCCUACAAAGGAGCAUCAGUUACAGAAGAUGUCUGCAGGUCCCUCUUGGUGACCUUAAAGACCCAAAUGCAGAUGAUGUACCAGUAACAAGCAAAAAAAUUCAGAGGAAAAUAGAACUUAAACCCCUUAUCUCUGGAGGAAGUUGUUCUUCUCCCAGAAAAAAAGGCUGUGAGGUUUUGGAAGGUGGGCAGAAAUGCUUAACAAUACAACAAAUACACAAAACAUCUACAAUAAAUAUAAUACAGAACUAAUUUAUUUCAA